rnacentral:rRNA from 1 species
UAGGGAAUCUUCCACAAUGGACGAAAGUCUGAUGGAGCAACGCCGCGUGAGUGCAGAAGGGUUUCGGCUCGUAAAACUCUGUUGUUAAAGAAGAACAUAUCUGAGAGUAACUGUCCAGGUAUUGACGGUACUUAACCAGAAAGCCACGGCUAACUACGUACCAG